rnacentral:rRNA from 1 species
CCUACGGGUGGCAGCAGUGGGGAAUAUUGCACAAUGGGCGAAAGCCUGAUGCAGCAACGCCGCGUGAAGGAAGAAGUGUUUCGGCUCGUAAACUUCUAUCAACAGGGACGAAAGAAAUGACAGUACCUGUAUAAUCAGCUCCGGCUAACUACGUGCCAGCAGCCGCUGUAAGACGUAGGGAGCAAGCGUUAUCCGGAUGUAUUGGGUGUAAAGGGUGCGUAGACGGAGAAGCAAGUUAGUUGUGAAAUCCCUCGGCUUAACUGAGGAACUGCAACUAAAACUACUUCCCUUGAGUACUGGAGAGGAAAGUGGAAGUCCUAGUGUAGCGGUGAAAUGCGUAGAUAUUAGGAGGAACACCAGUGGCGAAGGCGACUUUCUGGACAGUAACUGACGUUGAGGCACGAAAGUGUGGGGAGCAAACAGGAGUAGAUACCCCUGUAGUC